rnacentral:rRNA from 1 species
GCUGGCGGCAUGCCUUACACAUGCAAGUCGAACGGUAACAGGGAGCUUGCUCCGCUGACGAGUGGCGAACGGGUGAGUAAUGUAUCGGAACGUACCAUUCAGUGGGGGAUAACGUAGCGAAAGUUACGCUAAUACCGCAUAUUCUGUGAGCAGGAAAGCAGGGGAUCGCAAGACCUUGCGCUGAUUGAGCGGCCGAUAUCAGAUUAGCUAGUUGGUGAGGUAAAGGCCCACCAAGGCGACGAUCUGUAGCGGGUCUGAGAGGAUGAUCCGCCACACUGGAACUGAGACACGGUCCAGACUCCUACGGGAGGCAGCAGUGGGGAAUUUUGGACAAUGGGGGCAACCCUGAUCCAGCCAUGCCGCGUGAAUGAAGAAGGCCUUCGGGUUGUAAAGCUCUUUCGGCCGGGAAAAAAUCGCAUGGGUUAAUACCCUGUGUGGAUGAUGGUACCGGAAUAAG